rnacentral:rRNA from 1 species
AUACGUAGGUGGCAAGCGUUGUCCGGAAUUAUUGGGCGUAAAGCGCGCGCAGGCGGCUUCUUAAGUCUGAUGUGAAAGCCCACGGCUCAACCGUGGAGGGUCAUUGGAAACUGGGAGGCUUGAGUGCAGAAGAGGAGAGCGGAAUUCCACGUGUAGCGGUGAAAUGCGUAGAGAUGUGGAGGAACACCAGUGGCGAAGGCGGCUCUCUGGUCUGUAACUGACGCUGAGGCGCGAAAGCGUGGGUAGCGAACAGGAUUAGAUACCCUGGUAGUCCACGCCGUAAACGAUGAGUGCUAAGUGUUAGGGGGUUUCCGCCCCUUAGUGCUGCAGCAAACGCAUUAAGCACUCCGCCUGGGGAGUACGGCCGCAAGGCUGAA